AUGAUUUGACCUUUUGCACAUUAAAACAAUAAAACUAGAAAAAUCAACUAUAAAAUGAGGGAUUCAUCAGAACGUUUUUCUAAUCUUGAGAAAGUUCCAAUAAUAGGCUCAUUAUUUCACUACCAAAGGAAGAAAAAAACUAGAGAAGAGAAAAACAUACUAACAGCUGAUUUAUUUUUACACACAAUAAACCUAGAAAUGCAAAAUUCCAGAAGAAAUUUCCCCCUUUCCUCUUUUCCUUUUACCUUUCAUCUUUUCUUUGACAAAACCCUGAGUAACAAAAAAAAAAGAUCAAAUUAGAUUAGAGAAAAUAUUUGUAUGAAAAGAAUAAUAUUAUAUAACAUAAAGAGUAAAUCACAAAUGAAUAUUACUAGCUUUAACUAACUGUUUCUCAAAGAUGUCAAAUUCAAAUCUAUAUGUUUCUUCUUGUAAAAAUCAAUAGUAUACUUAGAAAGGCAACAUAACAGACCAAAAAAAGAAGGAAAAAAGAAUUUUUAAGAAUUUACAUAUUAAUAGUAGUGUCAAAAUGAAAUCAAUCCAAAUCUUUCUAAGAUAUACAUGAUUUAUAUAGGGAAAUCGACUUUACAAGAUUCAAGAACCUAACAAAAGAUAUUGAGAAUUGAAAGAAUGAGCUAAAAAUAAAAGUGGAUGAAAGAAUAUGUACUCUAAGAUUCUGCAAAGAAGUCUAUACCAUUUUUCUCAAAGUAGAGGGAUCUUCUGCUAUUGGAACAUUUGGAUGCCAUAUCUGGCAUGGAUUAUGCAUCCCAUUGAAAUUUACAAAAGGGUUUAGCAAAUCUAAUUCAAAAGUAACAUUCCUUUCCAUUAAGUUCUUUCUUGUAGAAAAAUUUAUGGGCAGAUUGAAGAUUUGUUUUACAUUCACCUCAUUGAACCUUUCAAUUGACAAUGCGAACUUUAUAUGUUGUCCAUUUUUCUGUUUAGGCUUCUUUUUCAGUUGAGCUCAAUUUCACAAAGUACAACAAAUUAGCUAUAAAAAUCGGAUUUUACAAACUUAAUCAUACUAAAAUAUUACAGGGGAACAUCAUGUUUUGAAAAUACAGAUUUAAAACCCCCAAAUUGAAUUACGUAAUAAUUAUUUCCAUGUUAGUCCAAGUUAUUAAAAUUGUGGUGAUGUCAAUGAAUAUGUUUAGAAUAAUAGUAAUCUAUCAAACCAAUUGCAUAGGGAUCAACGGAAUAAGAAUUGAUAAUGCUCACAACAUGGUAGUCGAAAGCUUGUCAUGGAUUCAGUUAUAACUGAGAUUUUUAUGUUACAACUUUUAGAAGUGGAAAGAGGCAAUUCAGGGUCAUGAAUUAAAAGCAUAAAGCAUUGAAGAUGGAGUGCUUUACAAACAAAACAUGGCUAUCUUUUAUGAUUCAAGGUAAGAAAAUGUUAUAUAGAGGAUGAAGUCUGGCUAAGCAAGCAAUACAUUAGCAAGCCUCUUGGACGAAUCAGAUUGUAACAAAGAAUCUUAACUCUCAAACUAAAGUAAUAACCAAUUCAUUAAGUACUAAAUUUUCAAUCACUUGCAUAUCUCUAAUACUUAACUAACAAAAAAGCUGCUUCAACUUACUUUCUUCCUUUACCUAACAAAUACCCUGAGUACAGCAUAGGCCAAAAAUUCAACCACAGAAUGUGUUAAUAGCACAAUAACAUUUUAGUUCCUAUAUGAUAAGUAAAAACCAAAAAAAUACAACCAACUUUAACUAUAUUUUGCAGUUCAAUCCAAAUAAUUCUUCAACUUUUUUGUGACGAUAAUAACAAAAAAUUCAAACAAUAUGUUUGAAAGAAAACUUGCUGCAGCAAAGACCAAUAGCGAAUAGCUUGUAUGAAGGAGAUCAGUAGAAACAAUACAUCAUUAAAAUGCAACAAGAAAAUGACUUAUAUAUAGAGCAAAAAUAUAGAAACCACAACUGUAAAUGAAAAGUGGACAAAAAAUUCCUCUAAAUAUAAACAACAACAACACCUAUAACAAUAUAAGAAACUUAAAACAGAGCUUAGGAAAUAAAAUUAAAGUAAGCACGGAUGCAAAAAAAUUAGAAAACUCACCAUAAGGAAAGAGAAUGUGAUAGAGAAGAAGCACAAAAAAAUUCCUAAAAAGGAAAAGGCACAUAUUAACAAGAAUUUAGGAAAAAAUUAACUAAUAGAAUAACCAUAUAGAUGCUUCUACAAGAAGAGAAUAAUCACACAAUAAUAGAUAAUUAAAAAAUAUUUGUCAGAUUUUAAAGAUGGAAGGAAGAAAACAGCUGAUUCUCCAGGAUAGAAACAAAAUGGUCACCAAUUGAUCUAUAGAAAAAAACUCACCUUUGCCUUUGCCUCAUAAAAUAUGAGACGGACAAUUGUUGCCUUUCAAUCUACCUAAAAAAAAGAAAAAAAAUAUUGAGUAACCUGAAGUAAAUAGAAAUUUUUUUUGCUCUUAGUUUCUCCUAUUUAUUGUUAUCACCGUGACCAAUGGAGAGUAAUAGGCCUGGGAAGCCACGCAGAGGAAGAUUUGGACAACAGCGAAUUAAAGAAAGAGAAGAAGUGAAAAUAAGAGAGAAGAAAGGGAGAAAGAGACUGAGAAGAAGAA
rnacentral:lncRNA from 1 species